rnacentral:lncRNA from 1 species
GUGGUGUGUGUAUGGUGUGUGUGGUGUGUGUGUGUGUGUGGUGUGUGUGUAUGGUGUAUGUGUGGUGUGUGUGUGUGUGGUGGGUGUGUGUGGUGUACGUGUGGUGUAUGUGUGGGGUGUGUGUGUGUGUGGUAUAUGUGUGUGUGGUGUAUGUGUGUGGUGUUUAUGUGUGUGUGGUGUAUGUGUGGUGUGUGUGGUGUGUGUGGUGUAUGUGUGGUGUGUGUGGGGUGUGUGUGGGGUGUGUGUGGGGUGUGUGUGGUGUAUGUGGGGUGUGUGUGGGGUGUGUGUGGGGUGUAUGUGGUGUGUGUGUGGUGUGUAUGGUGUAUGUGUGUGGUGUAUGUGUGGUGUGUGUAUGGUGUGUGUGUGUGUGGUGUGUGUGUGGGGUGUGUGGGGGGUGUGUGUGGUGUGUGUGUGGUGUAUGUGUGGGGUGUAUGUGUGUGGUGUAUGUGUGGUGUGUGUAUGGUGUGUGUGUGUGUGGUGUGUGUGUGGGGUGUGUGGGGUGUGUGUGGGGUGUAUGUGGUGUGUGUGUGGUGUGUAUGGUGUAUGUGUGUGGUGUAUGUGUGUGGUGUAUGUGUGGUGUGUGUGGUGUGUGUGUGUGGUGUAUGUGUGGUGUGUGUGUGCUGUGUGUGGUGUGUGUGCGGUGUGUAUGUGGUGUGUGUGUGGUGUGUAUGGUGUAUGUGUGCGGUGUGUAUGUGGUGUGUGUGGGUGGGGUGGUGGUGUGUGUGUGGCGUGUCUGUGUGUGGUGUGUGUGUGGUGUGUCUGUGUGUGGUGUGUGUGUGGUGUGUCUGUGUGUGGUGUGUCUGUGUGUGGUGUGUGUGGUGUGUCUGUGUGUGGUGUGUGUGGUGUGUGUGGUGUCUGUGUGGUGUGUGUGUGUGUGUGGUGCGUGUGGUGCGUGUGUGGUGUGUGUGGUGUGUGUGUGGUAUAUGUGUGUGUGGUGUAUGUGUGUGGUGUUUAUGUGUGUGUGGUGUAUGUGUGGUGUGUGUGGUGUGUGUGGUGUGUGUGUGGUGUGUGGUGUUGUGUAUGGUGUGUGUAUGUGUGUGGUGUAUGUGGUGUGUGUGGUGUCUGUGUGGUGUCUGUGUGGUGUGUCUGUGUGGUGCGUGUGUGGUGUGUGUGGUAUAUGUGUGUGGUGUGUGUGGUGUCUGUGUGCUGUCUGUGUGUGGUGUCUGUGUGUUGUGUCUGUGUGGUGUGUGUGGUGUGUGUGGUGUCUGUGUGGUGUCUGUGUGGUGUGUCUGUGUGGUGCGUGUGGUGCGUGUGUGGUGUCUGUGUGGUGUCUGUGUGGUGUCUGUGUGGUGUCUGUGUGGUGUCUGUGUGGUGUCUGUGUGGUGUCUGUGUGGUGUCUGUGUGGUGUCUGUGUGGUGUCUGUGUGGUGUCUGUGUGGUGUCUGUGUGGUGUCUGUGUGGUGGGUGUGUGUGUGUGGUGUCUGUGUGGUGUGUCUGUAUGGUGUCUGUGUGGUGUCUGUGUGUUGUGUCUGUGUGGUGCGUGUGUGGUGUCUGUGUGGUGUCUGCGUGGCGUGGGGGGGGAGGGCACGGCAGGGCACGCUGGUGUGAGGGGUCAGGGAGAGCAGCUCCUUCACCACCCGCGCUGGGCGACGGGGACGGGACGCAGCUCCUGUCCCGGGGGCAGGGCGCUGGUUGUCGCCAGGCGCAGCAUCUGUC